rnacentral:lncRNA from 1 species
AUUUGGUUCAUGAUUUAUGCAUAAGAUAUAUUAACCAAAUAACAAGCCUUAAGGUGUAUCAUAAAGAUUUUCAGAUUUAAAUUUCAGAUGAUACAUAUUGGAGAGUAUUAGGAUCACUUUUCAUUUAGUAUUCUUUCUUUCUCCUUUAGUUAUAGAUUUAUGCGAUUAAGUUCCAUAAGACCUCUCCUUCUGAAAUUUUCUUUCUCCCCCUCAAUUGAUCAUUCCAUUUAGGAGUUUAGAAUUUGAAGAUAAUGUUCAAUAAAAUUGUCAAUCUCAAAAAUGUAUUUUCUAUAAGUUUUAGCUUAUUUUCAUAAGACUCAAGGUUUGAGAUAAGACAACCUUUAUAGAACUCAUCUCAAGGUAUAAACUUAUAAUAUAAUUAAAGCAAGUCUUGCUAUAUAAGGAGGUUCAUCAAAAUCAAUCCAUAAAAA